rnacentral:lncRNA from 1 species
AAUCUCAAAUGGGAACAAAGCUAUAACUCAAGCAGCUGGAGUUGAAAAAGGUCACUGGCUCAGCUCUAGAAAGACUUGCAUGGUUUGAUGUUUGUGGAAUAUCCUCAAGUUCCUUAGCAGGACACACUGCUGGGACAAGAUCAUACCAGAGCAAGUUUAUGACGCUGAGGCAUCUCCUGGGUUUGACUGCAGCAGAAAUACCUUGUGGUUUCUCUACAUCUGCGUGAAAUUAGAGUGCAAUAAAAAUCUGGAGGAGAUCAAACUCUGGCUCAUUUGGCACAGGAAAACCAAGCAACCAUGCAGGACUGGAAACUUCUAGCUGGUAAGACUAGAGUUAAAUCAAAGAGGAAAGUCUUUUACUCAAAGUCAUGCAGUUUAUUAC